rnacentral:rRNA from 1 species
UGCCAGCCGCCGCGGUAAUACGUAGGGGGCAAGCGUUGUCCGGAAUUAUUGGGCGUAAAGAGCGUGUAGGCGGCCAGAUAAGUCUGCUGUGAAAUCUCGAGGCUCAACUUCGAGCUGUCGGUGGAAGCUAUCUGGCUAGAGUCCGGAAGAGGAGAAUGGAAUUCCUGGUGUAGCGGUGAAAUGCGCAGAUAUCAGGAAGAACACCCGUGGCGAAGGCGGUUCUCUGGGACGGUACUGACGCUGAGACGCGAAAGCGUGGGGAGCGAACAGGAUUAGAUA